GGACCAUGCAGAGGACUCAUCGCGACGACACCAACGGUUUGGUUAAGUGGGUUCUCUUGUGUGUGCGUCUGUGUGUGAAUGGCAGGCCUGUCGUAUGAUUGUGUGUGUGUGUGCGUUGGCGGUAUGCCUUCGCACUAUUAUUUUGUUAGGAUGUAUUUUUGUGUGUGUGAACUUUUUGCACGUAAUCUUUUUUUAUACCCAUAGCUAGCGUUUGUUUGUGUGGCAGUGUUCCGGGAGAUGGACGCCGGGGGACAUGGGCUUGGGGAGGCGCACAUGACCUCCUCUGUCCGUGACCUCUUCAGCUGGGGAGACCGUGUGUUGCCCCGCCUGGAGAGACACGUUGAUGGAGGUGGCCGUGUGUGUCACCCUUUGCCUGUAUCCUCUGGCGCCCAGAGGCGCGUAAGUGGAGAGCAUCGGCGCAGCGCGGGAGCAGCACGUCAGGGUGUAGGGUGUUUGUUUAGCUGGUGUAGGGUGUUAGGGUGUUAGGUGUAACAACGGUUGGCUCUUUCACAGAACGGGUGUGACUCCGUUCUGCGUUUGAGUCUUCCACCUUCAGACGGUCUCCCUCCGAGAUGUCUGAAGUUUUUUUUGUCGGUUUUCUCCGUAGGAGGAAGCCGACUCUAGCUACUCUGGCCUCUCUUCCGGGGGUCAGAGCGGUCGGGCUCUGCUUGGCCAGGCGUUAGUCUUUCGCGUUGUCUCCGCCGACGUUUUGCCAGACUCUUCCGUAAGGUUGAGCCUGGCUUUUUUAUUAGGUGGAUCAGGCUGCCUUCUUCCAAGGAGUCUGAUGGGAGUGGAGUCUUUUUUUUGGUGUAUGUCUGUGGGUACUUAGUGGGUAAGGGAGGGUGGGGUAGAAUGGUUGGUGGGCUGGAAGUGGGUUGGGGGAUGAGCCUCCUGGGAUUUGGGUUGUGUCGAGCCUUACCGCCUGGUGUGUUGGGUAACCUUCACGCCAGGGGGGGGGUGCCAAGACCAUAUCCAUCUCCUGGGCAGGGCGAUUCCCCUUUCCCAUGCCAACUGGCCCUCCUCCGUCUGCCUCCCCAAACCCCCGCUGAGUGCUUGUGUGUGUUAUUUUAUUUAGGAUGUCUUUUUUUUCUAUGCCUUUUUCCCGUGUGUUUAUACCCAAUAGCUAGCGUGUGUGUGUGUGUGGCAGUCCGGAGGCGCGUGCAGCGAGGACAUCACAUCACGUCACUACGGUAUAUCCACGGUAUUUGGUUUAGUGUGUGCUGUGUGUGUUUGUGUGUGUGAUGGCAGGCCUGCCGUGUGUUUGACCUUUUGCUGUGUGUUGCUGUGUGACUGCUAGGAUUUCAUUUCUAUGUAUGUUUUUUUCCCCAUAACCCCCUUCCUCCCUAGCUCUUUAGCUGUUGUGUGCGAGGCGCUGGGUGGAUGCUGCCGGGCGACCAACGGCGGUGGCGGUGUGCAACGCGGGAGCUGCUGAGGUUUGGGGUAGCACUACGGUGCAGGUUAUGUAGGGUGUGUGAGUUUUUUUUUUGUGUGAGUGUCUUUUUUUUGUGUGGGGGACUUAGCUAAUCACUGUGUCAGGAAGGCAUGGGCGUGGCCGUCUGUCCAUCAGGCCGACGGGCGGGUGUGCCACCUGGCAGUCAGGCUAGCAGGUGACAGGCAAGCUAUCUGGCGGUCAGGCUGUCAGUCGGGCCAUCAGAUAGGUAGGCAGGCCACCUUGCGGUCGGGUUGUCGGGCGGGCACCCCACCCUCGGUCAGGUAGGCAGGCAGCAGCGUCUACGCUGAGCCGUACGGCUACACGUACGAACGCACGGAACCCGUACGCUACGUUCCGCUGCACUGACGCUCGUCGUACCUCUGCUCGCACGCUUGC